AAUGGGCAGGGGUGGGCGGCUAACGUGAAGGGUGUGGCGAGAGGGGUAAGCAGAGGAUUUCGGAAUGCAGUGUACAGCGAAGCAGGCGAGUUAUUAUAUUUUUAUUUUGAUAUUAUUUCGAUUUUUCAUUUUAAUUUCAGUUUUUUUUUUGUCGUUAGCCGCAAUUUAAAAUUUGGAAUUUUUCAAAUGUUGUUUUCGACGCGCGCGCGUUUUGUUGAUUGUUGUUCGCAUAAUUUACCAUUUCAGUCAGAGGAAACAAAGCAUUUCAUUUAUUGUUGUUGUUGUUGUUUUUGUUGUUGUUGAGUUGCAUUUGGUUUGGAAGCAGCAUGAAUUAUGCAACAGAAUUGAGAGCGUAAAGCAUUUUUGAUUUAAGCACUGUGCAUGAGUUUACAACUCUGUGUGUGUGUCUGUGUCUGUGUGUGUGGCUUGCAAUUUUGGGAGCUGCUGUCAUCCAAAGUCGUUAGUGCACCAGCAUACGUACAUGGAUAUAUGUAUAUACAAAAUGCGCAUGCAAAAAGCCAAAAGCUAAACAUAAAUACAAAUCAGAUUGGAUAUGCUGCAAUAUAAAUUGUAUAGACUUAAAGAUACCCAGUGUUGGAUGUGGUAGAGAUGUUUAUAAAGGAGCUACGUUUCUUAAUCGAACCUAUUUUAAUAUGUUCAAGGCAAAAAAGAAAGACCAAAAGUUGAAUCGACUUUAAAUUUUCUAGUAAAAAUGCGAUUUUUCUGUGUCAAAAAUCAUCAUCAUCAGUCAUCAGUCAAAAAUCAAAAUCGAUAACAGCAUCAAAAUGAUUCCACCUGAUAAGCCUCUUUGACUCGGCUUAAGCCAGUUAGACAGGGUAUUUGAAAGCCAAAUCUAAAUGACAUAUGCGCUUCGGGGCACACA